UACGGGGGGGGCAAGCGUUGUUCGGAAUUACUGGGCGUAAAGGGCUCGUAGGCGGCCGACUAAGUCGGACGUGAAAUCCCUCGGCUUAACCGGGGAAUUGCGUCCGAUACUGGACGGCUUGAGAUCGGGAGAGGGAUGUGGAAUUCCAGGUGUAGCGGUGAAAUGCGUAGAUAUCUGGAGGAACACCGGUGGCGAAGGCGGCAUCCUGGACCGACACUGACGCUGAGGAGCGAAAGCCAGGGGAGCAAACGGG
rnacentral:rRNA from 1 species